GACGAACCGUGCGAACGUUAUUCGGAAUCACUGGGCUUAAAGCGCGUGUAGGCGGGACGGCACGUCUGUCGCUGAAAUCCCCCGGCUUAACCGGGGAACUGGCGGAGAUACGACCGUCCUGGAGGGGCGUAGGGGCAUCUGGAACGUUGGGUGGAGCGGUGAAAUGCGUUGAUAUCCAACGGAACUCCGGUGGCGAAGGCGAGGUGCUGGACCCUUUCUGACGCUGAGGCGCGAAAGCCAGGGGAGCGAACGGG
rnacentral:rRNA from 1 species